rnacentral:lncRNA from 1 species
GCCAGGAGGCUUCUUGCCCUGUUCAAAUGGUUACAAAGUUCAGCUAGAGAAUUCCUUCUCCCUGUAGAGUUUUACCCCCUGCUCCUCUGGCCGCCCUCCGGAUGGAUCUUUGUGUUGCCAGGCAGGAAUGGGCUGCUUGGGGACCCAGUGAGCUCCGAGGGGCUUUCUGCUGCUUCCUGUACCCCUGUGUAUUUCGCUCAGCUCUCUGACUUGACUCAGCUCCAGCAUCUACCCCUGGAGAAAGAGCCCAAUGAGAAGUAAUCUCUGAAGCCCAGAUUUCCUAAGGAUGAAGCUUCAGGAGAGGCCUUAUCAAUCCUGACAACAAACUUUUCUCGUCAAUUUAGUUUCAUUUAACGGAAGUUUUAAAUGUGGAAAGUUCAGAAGGCUAUUAAAAUUGGUUCCAGCUAUCUAAGAUACACACACAACCACACACGCACACACACGGUAGAGAUAAAUAUGUUCGAAAAUCCAGCUCAAUGUUACUAGAAAAUUUGAUCAGAAUCUGGUGAAAUAAAUAGUAAACUUACUAAAAAUGCCAAAUAUCCCAGAAGUUGCUUAACAUUUGAUCAAAAACUCUGUCCAGUCAAUUUCUGCUUCUUUCAAAAAUACUCUGCUGAAAAGCCAAAGGAGAAAUGGGGCUGGUACCUUCAAUAUAGAGAAUUCCAAGUAAGAUUAGAUCCCAGAAGGCUUAGUGUGGCUUUCUAGGACUCUCACUAUUAGGCAGUAACCUACCAUUCACCUCUGUUUCCCAGAUUCACCUUGCUAUACCUUAUAACUUAAAAUAUAAAUUCCAACAAUGUACUGCACUCA